CCUACGGGUGGCAGCAGUGGGGAAUAUUGGACAAUGGGGGCAACCCUGAUCCAGCCAUGCCGCGUGUGUGAAGAAGGCCCUCGGGUUGUAAAGCACUUUCAGUGAGGAAGAACGCCUGGUGGUUAAUACCCAUCAGGAAAGACAUCACUCACAGAAGAAGCACCGGCUAACUCCGUGCCAGAGCCGCGGUAAUACGGAGGGUGCGAGCGUUAAUCGGAAUUACUGGGCGUAAAGCGCGCGUAGGUGGCUUGAUAAGCCGGUUGUGAAAGCCCCGGGCUCAACCUGGGAACGGCAUCCGGAACUGUCAAGCUAGAGUGCAGGAGAGGAAGGUAGAAUUCCCGGUGUAGCGGUGAAAUGCGUAGAGAUCGGGAGGAAUACCAGUGGCGAAGGCGGCCUUCUGGACUGACACUGACACUGAGGUGCGAAAGCGUGGGUAGCAAACAGGAUUAGAUACCCUAGUAGUC
rnacentral:rRNA from 1 species